rnacentral:lncRNA from 1 species
GAAAUUGAUGGAAACAACCAUACAGAUUUGGACUCUGACUUAGGACCUGUCAUUAAAUCUUUCUGUGAUCUUGGGCAGGUUGUGACAUCAGAAAGUUGAUAGACGUGAUCGCUAAGAAUCUUGCCGGAUAUUCUAGGACUGCAAGUAAAAGAGACCCUAUUUUCUGUGCUGGGAAAAGCAUCUGAGUGGACCUAACACAGGGCAGUGAAAGUGAUGCAGAACAAACUUCAAAGCCUCCAGGAGCACACGUGACCUCAGAAAAUGAACAGAAACAACCUAGCUCUCCGAAGAGGAGUAUUUCAUUCAACUCCGAACUGCUCACACAUUAUGCAACUGUGAACAAGGCUCAUUUCAAAAUCCAUGAAGCUUCUAAUGUUUUCACCACAAAAUAUAUUAAGUAUUGAGGUGCUGGAUAUGUUGACUAGUUUGAUUUAAUUAUUCCACAUUAUAUGCAUAAAUAGUAACAUCACCUUGUUCCCCAUAAAAUUAUACAAUUAAAAAUUGUCAAUUUGCAAUUA